UAUUCCUCCUUAAAAUAUGACGAUUUCUGACCGGAGCAACAGAAAUGUCGGGAGAGCUUGUGAUACUCCCCCUCGAAAUUUAACAAUUUCCGGCCGGAGCGAUAGAAAAGUCGGGAGAGCUUGUGAUACUCCUCUUUGAAACCUGCAUAAAAAUAUGUUCUGGCUGAAGUGGUAGGAGUGUCGGAGAGAGUUUGUGAUAAUCCCCCCGAAUUGUGACAACUUCUGACCGAAGCGACAGAAGUGUCGUGGAGAGUUUGUGAUACUCCCCUUGGAAUGAAACGACUUCUAGCCAAAACGACAGAAGUGUUAAUGAGAGUUUAUGAUACUCUCCUCCAAAGAUGGGCGAGACGGCUUCCGGCUAGAGUGACAGAAGAGUCGGAGAGAGUUUGUGAUACUCCCCCUGAAAUCGUGCCGUUGUGACAGAUUGUAGAGUUAUGCUUUGGAUGUUUGUGCCCGAGGCGAUAGAAGUAUUGAGGAAAGCUUGUGAUACUCCCAUCGAAAAUCAUGUCAACCCGACAACUUUUAAAAUAUUGGUGUAACGGAGGUAUUGGAGGGAGCUUGUGAUACUCCCCCCGAGAAUCAUGUCGUCGUGACAUAUGAAAUGAAUUUUCGAAAUAUUUUGCAAUCUUUAUAUUUUGAUUAUCAAUGAACUACCUUCUGUCUUUUCUUUGCCAAUCUUCCAUAUAAACCACCUUUAAAUUGUAACCUAGGCUCGAAACUAGAUUCACAAGCCGUAAGUUAGCCACUCUGAACGUAAGUUAGACUCUGCUAAACCUCUCUUAGCCACUCUGGACGUAAGCUUGGUCGUACGAAUCGUAGUUCAGUCGUCAGUUAAAUUAGCGGAUAAUUUAU
rnacentral:lncRNA from 1 species